rnacentral:rRNA from 1 species
AUUGAACGCUGGCGGCAGGCCUAACACAUGCAAGUCGAACGAGUGGCGGACGGGUGAGUAAUGUAUGGGAAACUGCCUGACGGAGGGGGAUAACUACUGGAAACGGUAGCUAAUACCGCAUACCCUCCGAUGUGCCCAGAUGGGAUUAGCUUGUUGGUGGGGUAAGGGCUCAACAAGGCGACUAUCCCUAGCUGGUCUUAGAGGGUGACCAGCCACACUGGUACGGAGUCACGCUCCAGCCUCCUACGUGAGGGAGGAUUCGGGAAUAUUGCACAAUCAGGGCAAGCUUGAUGCAGCCAUGCCGGGUGUAUGAAGAAGGCCUUCGGGUUGUAAAGUACUUUCAGCUGAGAGGCGUUACCCGCAGAUGAAGCACCGGCUAACUCCGUGCCAGCCGCCGCGGUAAUA